GCYUCAAGUUAUGUGUGACAA
rnacentral:rRNA from 1 species